rnacentral:rRNA from 1 species
AGUGAACGCUGGCGGCGUGCUUAACACAUGCAAGUCGAACGAUGAAGCUCUAGCUUGCUAGAGUGGAUUAGUGGCGCACGGGUGAGUAAUGUAUAGCUAAUGUGCCCCUUAGAGGGGGAUAACAGUUGGAAGCGACUGCUAAUACCCCAUACUCCUUCUUCCUAUAAGGGAAGUUGGGAAAGUUUUUUCGCUAAGGGAUCGGGCUAUAUGGUAUCAGCUUGUUGGUGAGGUAAUGGCUCACCAAGGCUAUGACGCCUAUCUGGUCUGAGAGGAUGAUCAGACACACUGGAACUGAGACACGGUCCAGACUCCUACGGGAGGCAGCAGUGGGGAAUAUUACACAAUGGAGGAAACUCUGAUGUAGCAACGCCGCGUGGAGGAUGACACAUUUCGGUGCGUAAACUCCUUUUAUAUGGGAAGAUAAUGACGGUACCAUAUGAAUAAGCACCGGCUAACUCCGUGCCAGCAGCCGCGGUAAUACGGAGGGUGCAAGCGUUACUCGGAAUCACUGGGCGUAAAGCGCGCGCAGGCGGUCUUUUAAGUUGGAUGUGAAAUCCUAUGGCUCACCAUAGAACUGCAUCCAAAACUG